GACAAAGCGAUGCGGAAGCUGAGUACGUCGAGAUCCACUCGUUCAGAGAGGGCGGGCAUCAGGUGGGAGCCGCCCCGGGUGGCCGGCCGAAGCUACUUCCAAGCGCAUGCUGACAAACGCAUGCCGGGUGCGCCCGUUACAGCGAAGAGGGACAAGCUCCUAGCUUGUAACCAGGGUGGUACCGCGGGUGAUAAACAGCUCCCGUCCCUGAG
rnacentral:ncRNA from 1 species